rnacentral:rRNA from 1 species
AUGGGGAACUGCUGGGGCACGCGGAUCAAGGAUGGGAGCACCCACCCGGGCGCCUCAGGAAUGUUCUCAAGGGGUAGUGGUAAAGAUGGGAGUAGGCUUAGUGCCUGCAGCAGUCGAGCUUCUUCAGCUUCCAUGCCUCCAAGUGCAAAGACUGAAUGUGAGAUCUUGCAAUCAGCCAAUGUUAAGGUCUUCAGUUAUAAUGAUCUCAGGUUAGCCACAAGGAACUUCCGUCCUGACAGUAUGCUCGGCGAAGGAGGGUUUGGAUCUGUCUACAAAGGAUGGAUUGAUGAGCAUACAUUGUCAGCUUGCAAACCUGGUACUGGAAUACCUGUUGCUGUGAAAAGACUCAACCUGGAGGGUUUGCAAGGGCACCGAGAGUGGUUGGCUGAAGUUAAUUACCUAGGUCAGUUUUGCCAUACCAACCUUGUGAAGCUAAUUGGGUACUGCUUAGAGGAUGAACACAGGCUCCUAGUGUACGAGUGCAUGCCACGUGGGAGCUUGGAAAAUCAUCUUUUCAGGAGGGGCUCACACUUUCAACCUCUUUCAUGGAACCUAAGAAUGAAGGUUGCACUCGGAGCUGCUAAAGGACUAGCCUACCUUCACAGUGCAGAGGCUAAAGUUAUUUAUAGAGAUUUUAAGACAUCCAAUAUUCUCCUUGACACAGACUAUACCGCAAAACUCUCUGAUUUUGGAUUGGCAAAGGAUGGCCCUGUUGGUGAGAAGAGUCAUGUGUCCACAAGGGUAAUGGGAACAUAUGGUUAUGCAGCUCCAGAAUAUCUCUCAACAGGCCAUCUCACUGCCAAGAGCGACAUCUAUAGCUUCGGGGUAGUGCUUCUGGAGAUGCUGUCAGGCCGUCGCGCCAUUGACAAGAACCGUCCCCAGGGCGAGCACAACCUUGUCGAAUGGGCCCGGCCAUAUCUCACACACAAGCGCAAGAUUUUCCGUGUCCUUGAUACCAGGCUAGAAGGCCAGUACUCCCUGAACGGAGCCCAGACAAUCGCUGCACUGGCUGUCGAGUGCCUGUCCUUCGAAGCUAAGAUGAGGCCGUCCAUGGACGCCGUGGUCUCUAUUCUGGAAGGGAUACAAGACUCCAGCGACCCAACCAGAAGACCGGCAGAUCCAACCAGAAGACCGGCUGCAGAGAGGCCUCAAGACCCCAAGAGUGGAAGCAAAACGGCGCCCGGCGCAAGCAACAGCGGCAAAGGUCGCCGCAAAAGCUCGGGAGACCUUCUGAAGGAGCCUGGCCGAGACCCAAAGCCGUCGGCCUACUCGUCGUAG